AUGAAUCACAAAAGUAAAGCUUACAGUCAAAAAUAUGUGAAGCUCGGGAGGGCAUGGUGCUCAAAUACGUGUACCUCGAAACUUAAUUUUGUUCGCCUGCAUCAAUCAUCCAGUUCUGGUCUGACUUCAUUUUGCAAGAUGCAGAAGCAGUACUCCAAGACAUGCAUGGCUCAUCUACUCCAGAUACAAGUCCUACAAGCUUUAAGUGUUGAUCGUACAAGCCUGCUCCUAAACUUUCAGAGUACAAGCCCUAAACAAUUAUUUAUGCACAUUUCAGAGUUGACAGCAUGCAUCAUCUUCUCCUAA
rnacentral:rRNA from 1 species